UGCAAGUCGAGCGGUAGAGAGAAGCUUGCUUCUCUUGAGAGCGGCGGACGGGUGAGUAAUACCUAGGAAUCUGCCUGAUAGUGGGGGAUAACGUUCGGAAACGGACGCUAAUACCGCAUACGUCCUACGGGAGAAAGCAGGGGACCUUCGGGCCUUGCGCUAUCAGAUGAGCCUAGGUCGGAUUAGCUAGUUGGUGAGGUAAUGGCUCACCAAGGCUACGAUCCGUAACUGGUCUGAGAGGAUGAUCAGUCACACUGGAACUGAGACACGGUCCAGACUCCUACGGGAGGCAGCAGUGGGGAAUAUUGGACAAUGGGCGAAAGCCUGAUCCAGCCAUGCCGCGUGUGUGAAGAAGGUCUUCGGAUUGUAAAGCACUUUAAGUUGGGAGGAAGGGCAUUAACCUAAUACGUUAGUGUUUUGACGUUACCGACAGAAUAAGCGCCGGCUAACUCUGUGCCAGCAGCCGCGGUAAUACAGAGGGUGCAAGCGUUAAUCGGAAUUACUGGGCGUAAAGCGCGCGUAGGUGGUUUGUUAAGUUGAAUGUGAAAUCCCCGGGCUCAACCUGGGAACUGCAUCCAAAACUGGCAAGCUAGAGUAUGGUAGAGGGUAGUGGAAUUUCCUGUGUAGCGGUGAAAUGCGUAGAUAUAGGAAGGAACACCAGUGGCGAAGGCGACUACCUGGACUGAUACUGACACUGAGGUGCGAAAGCGUG
rnacentral:rRNA from 1 species